UUCACCAGGUACUCUACUGAGUCAAGGUGAGUUGAUGGAGAGAAAUGGCUAGAAGAAAAUGGCCCUCUACAAUGAAACCAAAAGCAGCAACCAGCUGUUAACAUGCAAACAAAAUAAUGAUGAUGGAUGAGAGCUGACAUCUGUCAUGUCCUUCUGCAGCAGCACUUCCACACAAUUGCUAGACACACAACAAAUUGAGAUGGACAAUCUUACAUGGCCUAAGGAUGUUUAAGAUGCAGGUUUCAUAUAUACAUGUGGUGGGACGUUAAAAGGAAGGAAUGGGACCAUUGAAAGCCCUGGUUUUCCAUACGGUUACCCAAACGGGGCAAACUGCACGUGGGUUAUUGUAGCAGAGGAAGGCAACCGCAUUCAGAUAGUCUUUCAGUCUUUUGCAGUGGAGGAGGAAUAUGAUUUUUUAUCACUCUAUGAUGGACAUCCUCAUCCAGCCAACUUCAGGACAAGGUUAACAGGUUUCCAAAUCCCACCUCCAGUCAUGAGUACAGGGUCCGUCUUCUCCCUGCGGCUCACCAGUGACUUUGCUGUGAGUGCCCACGGCUUCAAAAUCUAUUACGAAGAAUUGCAGAGCAGCUCAUGUGGGAACCCAGGCGUCCCUCCCAAAGGAAUCCUCUAUGGGACCCGC